UCUCAGAAGGAAGCCUGGAUUUCCCGCCCAGGGGCCAGGAGGCAGCAAAGGAGCUGGGCGCCGCUCAGCUGGACCAUAGCCCAGCAGUCUUGGGCUGGACUUGUCCCUGACACUGCUGCCUCGUCCUCACUGGGCCUCGGAGCCUUCAUGGGUCUGCCACUUCCCUGGCCCCCAAGAUAUUCCCCGUGCCGGCUGAGGUGGGAGACACAGGAAGUCUGACUCCAUGAUGAAAGUAAUCUCACGAAGGACCCCUGGAAAGAAGUUCACCGUGCUGCUUCCCGGGAAAUUGGAGAGUGAUUUUGGAGCCAAACUAACAAAGUUUCAACCCUGGCCUGGGCCUGGUUUCCUCAUCUACAGGAUGGAGUAAUAGCCGCUUGAAAGAGGAAACCAAAAACUAUCGUCACAUUAACAGCCAGACAUGCAGAGCCUAGCAGAUGCCUCAUCCAGAAAAGGUGCUCAACAAAUAGUCUUUGAAAGAAAAAAAAGAACAAAUCCAAAUUACAACUAAAGCUUCUAGCAUUGUGACAGAAGAAAAAUUAGUAGCAAGCAUCAUUUCCGUCAUCAUGCUCAUUGUCACUACCAUGGUUCAGAGCCACAAAGAACAAUUUUCUUGCUCUAACAGAAAACCAGUUCAAAUGUCAGGUCCUGCCAACAGUGGGGGAAGUGGUGCAACAGCCUCAGUGUCAGAGAAGAUGUUUAUACAACCCCUCCCUACCCAUCUCGAGCCUCGGUUACAUUGAUCUGUCCAUCCUUUCUGAGCCCUGGUUCCCACCCUGACUCAGCCCUCUUUGACCAGCCCAUCACAGAUAGGAAAGGAAUCGCGCUCAGUUCCCCUGACUGAAAUUUGAUCUCUGACCACAGAGCCAGUGACUGUGCCUUUUUCCAGAGAAGUCCCGUAACAGGCUCCUCUGCUCCCCUGACCAUAUCAAGGAAGACUGUCCCUGGGACAGAUAUUAUCUCCCCAUGACAUUCAGGAAUUUACACAGGGCAUUUCGCCAAAGGCAUAAACUACUGUUUCCUUGAAUCACCAUGACUCCUAUCCAUGUUUUAUCUACUUACAGGACCACACAGCUAUGAACAGAGAUCAUGUAUCAAUAACUGCUACUCUCAGAAGGCCUGACAUAGAGUAAAACCUUAAUAAUUACUGAAUGAAUAUAUGAAUGAAAAAAACAAGGGUGUACCUGAGCAUUCCCAGGCAGAACUGCCUGUUUUCCUCCUUUAGGGGAUGUAAUUUCUCCUAUUUACUGAAGACAUUCUUCCUGACCCUUCAGAGAUUCCAGAGGCUAAUAACCUUCAGAGUCAAAAGGAUCAUUUUUCCUUGUCUAACUUAAAUUUUUCAGGAUGCAGCUUGGGUCAUUGGGACUAAAACCCACCGCUUUGCAAGGAGACAGUUAUUAAUUUACUCUUUUAGCCUUUUCUCCAACAAAUUUAAUGCCAGGUCCUUCACUUUUCUCUCCCUAGGGUCCUAUUGUCUAGCUCUUGCCCUGUUCCCCUGUUCUUUGGCCUUUUGCCAAGAUCUCAAAGGCCUCCUUCAGCUGCACAGACAGGAAUGGGACACAUUGUUCUCCACACACAGAUGCCUACGCACAAAAGACCAGCAUCUCUGUGUACCUAUUAUCCUCAGUCCUGGGUAAACACACUCGCAGGCAGCGCCUUACACGGUCACAGGUUCAUUCUCUCCUACGUGCACCCGUCUGAACCCUACUCUGGUGGAUUCUAGCACAUCUAGACGCACUUACAUGCAGAAGAAUAGGCUGCACAGACACAUUCUUUUUACCCACAGCCCCGUGUUGGACUGAGACAGCAACAGCACAGCCUCAGUUGGAGGCUCAGCCACAUCGACCCGGGCUUCUCCAAUCCCCGCUCCACGACUUUACUGGGUAUGUGG